CCCCACCUACUCCCCAAUCCGUUUAUUAGUCCCCUUCCGCAAAUGGCUCCGUGGCCGCGUUCCCAAACUGUCCCAGCCAGUGUACACUCUUCGGAUUGGGGUUGCAGAACAGUAGCACGUGAAUAAUUUGUCCCCAGCAGAGCCACCGUAGCUUGCUUCUAGGCGCGUGCGCGGUCUGUGCGGCGAGUACGCGGCAAGUGGUAGCGCCCCCGCGCCGGGGUCCGGAGAUGCCCCACAUAUCACCAAUGGCCACCACCUCUGCGUCUCCCCUUUAGGAGAGUGUGCUUGGGAGCCGAAGGAUUCCAAGCCAAGAUGAGAAAACACGAGCCCACAGAUCGCUCUCUGUCUCACCCAGAGGGCGAGCCCAGCACUCAGGAUGGUCUCGUGUUAUGUGGUGCAUCAGCCUGUCGCUGUCCUGACUCCCAUCUCCAGUCACCUGGCGUCCUUACUCCUUGAAACUCCAGGAAGACCUUUCCGAACAUGCACUCGUGCUUUCUUUUUGAAAUUUUGUGGUUUAUUUUAUGUUCAGCUCCUUGACACAUGCUACAUCUUUGAUAAUUUGGAUUUAAAUCUUUGAGGCGCCAGAAAGGGAAGGAUGCGGCAGGAAUCCAGCUUUUCCUUGCUAACAAUUUGUCAGCGGAUCCGUGUUUUUCCCCCUCCUUUUUUAAAAUGUCACCUUUACCAGAAACUAAAAUGCCAUAUGUAUUUGGGUCUAUUUUUGGAUUCUCUAUUUUGUUUCACGGAUGUCUGUUUUUUCCCCCCCAGCAUUAAAACAGUUUUACAUUUUGCUCACUGCCUGAGUUUUACUAAGCAGAAGCAUUCUUUUUCCUCAACCAAAGAGUCAAAGCUAAACUCAGGCACAAAGCAUACAGGCAGUGCAGUGCAUCUGAGCAGGGCUGUGUGGAAGGAAGGUGAAUGUGUGGCCACUGGCAAAGGGUAGUGGGUUGUAGGUGCCAGGCGUACAAAGGUGUAAUGUUCUUGUAGAUUCUUGAUUGGGAAGGAAUGCUCUGUGCACACAUAAAACUGCACGUUAGGCAAAUAAUACAUAAUCGGCCCAGUAUCUUGGGGCAAAGUCUGAUUUCAUUUGAAAGAAGUCGUGUACCUAGUGACUCGCUGAUUAAUUAUUCUUAAUUUAAGUGGUUAACAGUGCAACCAAGCUGCAGGCAUCUGGUUUCCCGUGGCUGCGGGAAGGAGGUGAGCAGUGACCUGCUUCACAGAAAUGGGAACUGAUGUCGUGAAUCUGGCUGCCUUCCACCUUGGAGAAGUGGCUCUGUUUUCUGGAAAGAACAAGGCCUUUAAAUAACCCAAUAUGCUUUAAUUUUACUAUUUUGGAUGGUUAGCUCUCUCACAGGCACGGCAGCCAUCCUUCUCUUAUGUGUAAAAUGUUCAUGACCGUAGUUCAGGCACAGUUGUUAAAUAAAUGAGGUAGUACAGGCAAGCCACAGUCCCGGGGCCACCUGAUCCUUCUGGCCUGUCUUGGAGCAGCCACUCUUGGACUCUUUUUAUAUUUGAUUUUUCUCAUGGUUGCCUCCUUACCUCUGUGUAUUAUAUGUGUGCUGCUCCUUGAUACAUCAAUUUUAAUUAUUAUUAUUUUUUAUAUUUUUUAAGAGAGGGA